UACGUAGGGUGCAAGCGUUAAUCGGAAUUACUGGGCGUAAAGCGUGCGCAGGCGGUUUUGUAAGACCGGUGUGAAAUCCCCGGGCUUAACCUGGGAACUGCAUUUGUGACUGCAAAGCUGGAGUGCGGCAGAGGGGGAUGGAAUUCCGCGUGUAGCAGUGAAAUGCGUAGAUAUGCGGAGGAACACCGAUGGCGAAGGCAAUCCCCUGGGCCUGCACUGACGCUCAUGCACGAAAGCGUGGGGAGCAAACAGG
rnacentral:rRNA from 1 species